rnacentral:rRNA from 1 species
UACGAAGGGGGCUAGCGUUGCUCGGAAUCACUGGGCGUAAAGGGUGCGUAGGCGGGGCUUUAAGUCAGGGGUGAAAUCCUGGAGCUCAACUCCAGAACUGCCUUUGAUACUGAAGAUCUUGAGUUCGGGAGAGGUGAGUGGAACUGCGAGUGUAGAGGUGAAAUUCGUAGAUAUUUGGAAGAACACCAGUGGCGAAGGCGGCUCACUGGACCGGUAUUGACGCUGAGGUGCGAAAGCGUGGGGAGCAAACAGG